AUUACUACAAAGAGUGGAGUAUUCCUCCUGUACAUCCUUUGCAUGUCUCAUUGUGCCUGGUGGGCAUCUCUCAUCCAUACCAUUAAUUACAUUUCCAGAGUGGGAAGGGUAAAGGAAAGUGAGCUUGGUCUUUGCUGAAACCACAAAUUGACUACUGUUCAUUCUGUUACAGAGCAAGGCACGGUUC